rnacentral:rRNA from 1 species
UACGUAGGGACCAAGCGUUGUUCGGAUUUACUGGGCGUAAAGGGCGCGUAGGCGGCAUGACAAGUCACUUGUGAAAUCUCCGGGCUUAACUCGGAACGGCCAAGUGAUACUGUCAAGCUAGAGUGCAGAAAGGGCAAUCGGAAUUCUUGGUGUAGCGGUGAAAUGCGUAGAUAUCAAGAGGAACACCUGAGGCGAAGGCGGGUUGCUGGGCCGACACUGACGCUGAGGCGCGAAAGCUAGGGGAGCGAACGGG